rnacentral:rRNA from 1 species
AUUGAACGCUGGCGGCAGGCCUAACACAUGCAAGUCGAGCGGAGCGGCGGACGGGUGAGUAAUGCCUAGGAAUCUGCCUGGUAGUGGGGGAUAACGUCCGGAAACGGGCGCUAAUACCGCAUACUAUCAGAUGAGCCUAGGUCGGAUUAGCUAGUUGGUGGGGUAAAGGCCUACCAAGGCGACGAUCCGUAACUGGUCUGAGAGGAUGAUCAGUCACACUGGGACGGAGAGAGAGUCCAGACUCCUGCGGGAUGCAGCAGUGGGGAGUAUUGGACAAGGGGCGAAAGUCUGAUCCAGCCAUGCCGUGUGUGUGAAGAAGGUUUUCGGAUUUGAUAGCACUUUAAGUUGGGAGUCGUUACAAACAGAUUAAGCACCUGCUAACUUCGUGCCAGCAGCCGCGGUAAUUC